ensembl:lncRNA
GGUGUGUGGUCUGAUUCAGCAGUAGGCUAGGUGGUGUGUGGUCUGAUUCAGCAGUAGGCUAGGUGGUGUGUGGUCUGAUUCAGCAGUAAGCUAGUUGGUGUGUGGUCUGAUUCAGCGGUAGACUAGGUGUUGUGUGGUCUGAUUCAGCGGUAGACUAGGUGUUGUGUGGUCUGAUUCAGCAGUAGCCUAGGUGUUGUGUGGUCUGAUUCAGCAGUAGGCUUGGUGGUGUGUGGUCUGAUUAAGCAGUAGGCUAGGUGGUGUGUGGUCUGAUUCAGCAGUAGGCUUGGUGGUGUGUGGUCUGAUUCAGCAGUAGGCUUGGUGUUGUGUGGUCUGAUUCAGCGGUAGGCUAGGUGUUGUGUUGUCUGAUUCAGCAGUAGGCUAGGUGGUGUGUGGUCUGAUUCAGCAGUAGGCUAGGUGGUGUGUGGUCUGAUUCAGCAGUAGGCUAGGUGUUGUGUGGUCUGAUUCAGCAGUAGACUAGGUGUUGUGUGGUC